AGGCAAGCAGCAAAGAAGGUAGCAACGCUAGUUGAUAGAUUCAACUUUUGCCGUAUCCGGUCGGCUAAACUCCGAACACAUCUUCCUUUUUUAAGAAUGACAUCAGUGCUUAACUCCAAGUCUUCCAGAGUUGCAACC